CGGGGGGAGCAAGCGUUGUUCGGAUUUACUGGGCGUAAAGGGCGCGUAGGCGGCCACCGCAAGUCGACUGUGAAAUCUCCGGGCUUAACCCGGAAAGGUCAGCCGAUACUGCGGGGCUAGAGUGCAGAAGGGGCAACUGGAAUUCUCGGUGUAGCGGUGAAAUGCGUAGAUAUCGAGAGGAACACCUGCGGCGAAGGCGGGUUGCUGGGCUGACACUGACGCUGAUGCGCGAAAGCUAGGGGAGCGAACGGGAUUAGAUACCCCGGUAGUCCUAGCCUUAAACGAUGAAUGCUUGGUGUCUGGGGUUUUAUAGUCCCCGGGUGCCGUCGCUAACGCUUUAAGCAUUCCGCUUGGGGAGUACGGUCGCAAGACUG
rnacentral:rRNA from 1 species